AUUGAACGCUGGCGGCAUGCCUUACACAUGCAAGUCGAACGGCAGCACGGACUUCGGUCUGGUGGCGAGUGGCGAACGGGUGAGUAAUGCGUCGGAACGUACCCGGUAGUGGGGGAUAACUACCCGAAAGGGUGGUUAAUACCGCAUAUACUGUGCGCAGGAAAGCAGGGGACCUUCGGGCCUUGUGCUACCGGAGCGGCCGAUGUCAGAUUAGGUAGUUGGUGGGGUAACGGCCUACCAAGCCUGCGAUCUGUAGCGGGUCUGAGAGGAUGAUCCGCCACACUGGGACUGAGACACGGCCCAGGCUCCUACGGGAGGCAGCAGUGGGGAAUUUUGGACAAUGGGCGCAAGCCUGAUCCAGCCAUGCCGCGUGAGUGAAGAAGGCCUUCGGGUUGUAAAGCUCUUUCGGACGGAAAGAAAUCGUGCAGGCUAAUACCCUGCGCGGAUGACGGUACCGUCAUAAGAAGCACCGGCUAACUACGUGCCAGCCGCCGCGGUAA
rnacentral:rRNA from 1 species